rnacentral:piRNA from 1 species
GAACAAAGAAGACAAUGUCCAGAGCUGU